UAAUCCCAUCUCUAUCAUUUAUAAUGACCAAUCUCUCGAAAAAAACAUGACCAAUUAAAGUACAUUUAAGUGAUUUCCAUUACGGAUACUACGUAAAAAACAUUAUUGUUACGUAAAAGUAUUGUUAACAAUUAAUUAAUUAAAAGGAAUAUUUGUUGCCGCCUGUCUUAUACUAAUGAGUGGAUACGGGUUACGAUCUUUCGUUGUCCGCAAGAGGCAGAUUAGGAUUCUUGUGUUGCCUCAAGCUCAAAGUAGAAAACUACUUUGAAGGAACAUUUUGUACCGAAGAAAAUGAUUGGUGGUUGUCUUGCUUAAUAACAUAGGACUUCAGCAAGCGAGAUUGUAAUCUGAUGAAUGAAUUUAUGCAAGAUUACUUCCCCGAUAAACGUUCCGUCAUGAAUACAAUAUACGACCGAAUCUGUUGUAAAACAAAACAGGAAUGCACUUUGCGGAUAUCUUGGCGAUCUUCCUUUUAGUCCGCAGAAAUUUAGUCCGAUACAUCGUGUCAAAAUACUGGACUUCUAU